UACGAAGGGGGCUAGCGUUGUUCGGAAUUACUGGGCGUAAAGCGCACGUAGGCGGAUCGAUAAGUAAGGGGUGAAAUCCCAGAGCUCAACUCUGGAACUGCCUUUUAAACUGUCGAUCUGGAGCAGAGUAGAGGUGAGUGGAAUUCCGAGUGUAGAGGUGAAAUUCGUAGAUAUUCGGAGGAACACCAGUGGCGAAGGCGGCUCACUGGACUCUUGCUGACGCUGAGGUGCGAAAGCGUGGGGAGCAAAC
rnacentral:rRNA from 1 species